rnacentral:rRNA from 1 species
AUUGAACGCUGGCGGCAUGCUUUACACAUGCCAGUCGAGCGGCAGCACGGGGGCAACCCUGGUGGCGAGCGGCGAACGGGUGAGUAAUACAUCGGAACAUGCCCAGUCGUGGGGGAUAACACUUCGAAAGAAGUGCUAAUACCGCAUACGUCCUGAGGGGGAAAGCGGGGGAUCGCAAGACCUCGCGCGAUUGGAGUGGCCGAUGUCAGAUUAGCUAGUUGGUGGGGUAAAGGCCUACCAAGGCAACGAUCUGUAGCUGGUCUGAGAGGAUGAUCAGCCACACUGGGACUGAGACACGGCCCAGACUCCUACGGGAGGCAGCAGUGGGGAAUUUUGGACAAUGGGGGCAACCCUGAUCCAGCCACUCCGCGUGAGUGAAGAAGGCCUUCGGGUUGUAAAGCUCUUUCGGCAGGAACGAAACGGUGAGCUCUAACAUAGCUUGCUAAUGACGGUACCUGAAGAAGAAGCACCGGCUAACUACGUG